GAUGAACGCUGGCGGCGUGCCUAAUACAUGCAAGUCGAGCGAACAGACGAGGAGCUUGCUCCUCUGACGUUAGCGGCGGACGGGUGAGUAACACGUGGAUAACCUACCUAUAAGACUGGGAUAACUUCGGGAAACCGGAGCUAAUACCGGAUAAUAUAUUGAACCGCAUGGUUCAAUAGUGAAAGACGGUUUUGCUGUCACUUAUAGAUGGAUCCGCGCCGCAUUAGCUAGUUGGUAAGGUAACGGCUUACCAAGGCAACGAUGCGUAGCCGACCUGAGAGGGUGAUCAGCCACACUGGAACUGAGACACGGUCCAGACUCCUACGGGAGGCAGCAGUGGGGAAUCUUCCGCAAUGGGCGAAAGCCUGACGGAGCAACGCCGCGUGAGUGAUGAAGGUCUUCGGAUCGUAAAACUCUUUUAUUAGGGAAGAACAAAUGUGUAAGUAACUAUGCACGUCUUGACGGUACCUAAUCAGAAAGCCACGGCUAACUACGUG
rnacentral:rRNA from 1 species